UGGGAAACGAUAUAUUUUUGGGUCAUGGAUUGCAGUCAUUCGCCGAAAAGUCUAUUUUACUACCUCCUUUGAUUCUUCCAUGAAGUUGCCCUUUUCUAUUUUUCCCAAAUCACACGCAGGUUGAAAAAAGAUUAGUAUCAGAGCUUAUUUCUCCAAGAUAUCACAUAUAUUCUCGAAGAAAAUAAUAUUUUUCAACCAAAGAAGAUGGAAUCAGUCCAAGUAAACCUCUUGGAAGAUCAAUCUGGAAGAAAGAAAAGAAAGAUUUCCUUCAUAAUCUUUCUAACCAUUUUGUUUACAAUUAUAAUCUCUACGAUAAUCUUCGGUUUUGGAGUUUUAAAACGCCACACCGAGUCUCAAUAUCCGUCGUCAAACUCAGUCCGGGCAAUCCAAGUCGUGUGUUCCGUAACUAGGAACCCCCGCCUCUGCACCACUUCCAUAUCAGCCCUUUACAACCGGCGGCGUCACCGCCCAUUUUCCAAAACUGACCCUUCAAUGAUUUUCACUCUCUCACUUCACGUGGCCAUCAACGAACUAAAACCCCUUAUUUCACUACCCGAGAGCAACAACUGUGGAAAACUCCUCGACGACUCACUAAGUCAACUCAACGGAUCAUUAAUUUCCAGUGACGGCAAGAAAUCUAUGGAUGACGAAACGAUGAUCAGGGAUUUAACGGCGUCGAUUAAAGGUGGAAUUAGCAAUAUAGACAAGUGCUUGAAAGGAUUGGAAUCCAUGAAAAGUGAAUGGCGAAUUGCGAGAAUAAAAUUUUACAUGGUGAAGGUGUAUAUGGGGAAUAGUUUGCAGAUUCUGCAAAACAGGAACGCCAUUAAUGAAAUGUUUUAUCCUGACGUUCAAACUAUUUUCGCCUCCCUAAUGCUGAACCGGGAAUUGUAUUUGCUGAGUAUAAUUUUGAUAUGCUCACAGUAUUUGGUUAUGGUUUUUCUGGUUUGCAAUCUUUUGCGUGUGUAAUGAAGAAUUUGCUUUCGUCCAAAUUCCGAUCCUCUCUUUUAUUUUUUAUUCUAUGAAUGUUCUAGGGGCUCGUUUGAAGUUCAAGCACCAGCAAGCACAUGCUUGAAGUUUACGGGUUAGAUAUGUAUGUGACAUUAUGAUAAGGUUAGUUAUGUUAAGCGAUCAAUUUGAGCCAUUUUACACCUUAAGAAUCUUAUUUGAUAUAAUGUGGUAAUUUCAAGUAUGUGGGUCGAAAUUAUAGGUAAACCUUAAUUGGGGUUUAAGUCGAUAAUGAGACGACUAAAUAAAUUUCUAUAUAAAGGCUAAGUUU
rnacentral:lncRNA from 1 species